GAAUGGGAUGAAUUUGAGUGGUCAAAAAAAGCCAUCCACGUGAGUGUUCGGAAACAAACAAAAUGGUGGUACGCGAAAAGGUUUCUGCAUCCAGACAUAGUUGCCCCAUAUGACUAUAUUUUUAUCUGGGAUGAAGACCUAGGAGUUGAGCAUUUCGAUGCCAAGGAGUACAUUAAACUUGUCAAGAAGCAUGGUUUAGAAAUUUCUCAGCCAGGUUUGGAUCCCAGGAGAGGAACAACAUGGCAGAUGACAAAGAGAAGAGG
rnacentral:misc_RNA from 1 species